GAUGAACGCUGGCGGCGUGCCUAAUACAUGCAAGUCGAGCGAACAGACGAGGAGCUUGCUCCUCUGACGUUAGCGGCGGACGGGUGAGUAACACGUGGAUAACCUACCUAUAAGACUGGGAUAACUUCGGGAAACCGGAGCUAAUACCGGAUAAUAUAUUGAACCGCAUGGUUCAAUAGUGAAAGACGGUUUUGCUGUCACUUAUAGAUGGAUCCGCGCCGCAUUAGCUAGUUGGUAAGGUAACGGCUUACCAAGGCGACGAUGCGUAGCCGACCUGAGAGGGUGAUCGGCCACACUGGAACUGAGACACGGCCCAGACUCCUACGGGAGGCAGCAGUAGGGAAUCUUCCGCAAUGGGCGAAAGCCUGACGGAGCAACGCCGCGUGAGUGAUGAAGGUCUUCGGAUCGUAAAACUCUGUUAUUAGGGAAGAACAAAUGUGUAAGUAACUAUGCACGUCUUGACGGUACCUAAUCAGAAAGCCACGGCUAACUACGU
rnacentral:rRNA from 1 species